rnacentral:rRNA from 1 species
GACGAACGCUGGCGGCGUGCUUAACACAUGCAAGUCGAGCGGAGCGGCGAACGGGUGGGUAACGCGUGAGUAACUGCCCCCCUCCCGGGGAUAACAGAUGGAAACGGCUGCCAAUACCGGAUAGUGGGGGAUGGAUCGCGUCAUAUCAGAUUGUUGGUGGGGUAGUGGCCUACCAAUGCGACGGAGGGUAGCCGGCCUGAGAUGGGGACCGGCCACCUUGCUCUAAGGUACGGCCCAAACUCCAACAGGAGGCAGCGGUGGGGAAUAUGGCGCAGUGGGGGAACCUCUGUUGCAGAAACGCCGCGUCCGUGAUGACGGCCUACGGGGUGUAAACCGCUUUCAGCCAGGACGCGGUAGUGGCAGAAGAAGCACCGGCUAACUACGUGCCAGCAGCCGCGGUAAUUC